AUUGAACGCUGGCGGCAGGCCUAACACAUGCAAGUCGAGCGAGUGGCGGACGGGUGAGUAAUGUCUGGGAAACUGCCCGAUGGCGGGGGAUAACGACUGGAAACGGUAGCUAAUACCGCAUACCAUCAGAUGUGCCCAGAGGGGAUUAGCUAGUGGGUGGGGUAAUGGCUUACCUAGGCGCCGAACCGUAGCUGGUCUGAGAGGAUGAACAGCCACACUGGAACGGAGACACGGUCCAGACGCCUACGGGAGGCAGCAGUGGGGAAUAUUGCAUAAUGGGCGCAAGCCUGAUGCAGCCAUGCCGCGUGUAUGAAGAAGACCUUCGGGUGGUAAAGUACUUUCAGCGGGGAGGCGUUACCCGCAGAAGAAGCACCGGCUAACUCCGUGCCAGCAGCCGCGGUAAUUC
rnacentral:rRNA from 1 species